GUGCUUAUCAAUACUUCCGACUCAUUGUCAGAUCGUGCGCGAGACGCCGUGGGCCGAGCUGUUCGAGAGGUCAGACAAGAACCAGGAUGAGUUCCUGACACAGGCCGAGUUCAGAAUGUUCUUCCAGUCCUUUGAUAAAGACGGCAACCCUCGUAUCGACAACCGUGAGUUUGAGGCUGGCUGGGCAAACCUCGACUUUGCCCGGCAGUCGGACGCCGACAGUCUGUUCCGUUAUAUCGACAACAACAGUGACCACUAGAUCACCGACGUCGACAUGGAUAAGCUGUUCGGCCAGUACAACGGAAAUGCUGACAAUAAGCUUGAUCUGCAAGAAGUAGAAAUG